ACGGCGAGUGAAGAGGGAAAAGCCCAAAUUUGUAAUCUGGCUCUUUUAGAGUCCGAGUUGUAAUUUUAAGAACUGUUUUCCGUGCUGGACCAUGUACAAGUCUGUUGAAAAACAGCAUCAUUGAGGGUGAAAAUCCCGUACAUGAUAUGGACUACCAGUGCAAUGUGAUACAGUCUCUAAGAGUCGAGUUGUUUGGGAAUGCAGCUCAAAGUGGGUGGUAAAUUCCAUCUAAGGCUAAAUAUAGGUGAGAGACCGAUAGCAAACAAGUACCGUGAGGGAAAGAUGAAAAGAACUUUGGAAAGAGAGUUAACAGUACGUGAAAUUGUUAAAAGGGAAACAUUUGAAGUUAGACUUGUUAUUGUUGGUUCAACUUUUUUUAAAAGGUGUAUUCCAAUGGUUAACAGACCAGCAUCAAUUUUUGGGUGUUAGAUAAGGGUCUUGAGAAUGUAGCAAUUUUGGUUGUGUUAUAGCUCAUGACUUUGAUAUAAUGCUUAGGAUUGAGGAACGCAGUGAGC
rnacentral:rRNA from 1 species